rnacentral:tRNA from 2 species
GCUGGUUUCGUAUAAUGGCUAUUACAGUUGACUUGUAAUCUUCAAAUGGGAGUUCGAUUCUCUCAACCAGCA